UACGAAGGGGGCUAGCGUUGUUCGGAAUUACUGGGCGUAAAGCGCACGUAGGCGGAUUGUUUAGUCAGGGGUGAAAUCCCGGGGCUCAACCCCGGAACUGCCUCUGAUACUGGCAAUCUCGAGUUCGGGAGAGGUGAGUGGAAUUCCGAGUGUAGAGGUGAAAUUCGUAGAUAUUCGGAGGAACACCAGUGGCGAAGGCGGCUCACUGGUCCGGAACUGACGCUGAGGUGCGAAAGCGUGGGGAGCAAACAGG
rnacentral:misc_RNA from 1 species